rnacentral:sRNA from 1 species
GCCGGGCAUGGUGGUUCAUGCCUGUAAUCCCAGCAAUUUGGGAGGCUGAGGCGGGUGGAUCACCUAAGGUUAGGAGUUCGAGACCAGCCUGGCCAACUUGGCGAAACCCCCUUCUCCACUAAAAAUGCAAACAAUUAGCUGGGCAUGGUGGCAGGUGCCUGUAAUCCCAGCUACUUAGGAGGCUGAGGCAGGAGAAUUGCUUAAACCUGGGAGGUGGAGGUUGCAGUGAGCCAAGAUCGCAUCACUCCACUCCAGCCUAGGCAACAGAGUGAGACUCUGUCUCA